rnacentral:rRNA from 1 species
GCAGAACGCGAAGAACCUUACCAGGGCUUAAAUGCAGUCCGACAGGAUUGGAAACAGUCCUUUCUUCGGACGGAUUGCAAGGUGCUGCAUGGUUGUCGUCAGCUCGUGCCGUGAGGUGUCAGGUUAAGUCCUAUAACGAGCGCAACCCCUGCCGUUAGUUGCCAGCGAGUAAAGUCGGGAACUCUAGCGGGACUGCCGGUGCAAACCGUGAGGAAGGUGGAGAUGACGUCAAAUCAUCACGGCCCUUACGUCCUGGGCCACACACGUGCUACAAUGGCAGGUACAAUGGGCAGCCACUGCGCAAGCAGGCGCGAAUCCACAAAACCUGUCUCAGUUCGGAUCGGGGUCUGCAACUCGACCCCGUGAAGCUGGAAUCGCUAGUAAUCGGAUAUCAGCCAUGAUCCGGUGAAUACGUUCCCGGGUCUUGUACACACCG